UGCUCUUCUGAUCUGCCGUUUACACCAGCCAGAUGAGAACCUAGCAGACGAGAUCCAAACGCAGCGAACAAAGCUGAGAAGCAACAUGAAAGACCAUCGGCGGAUACCGUCUGGGACGUCACGGUUCCCCGAGUCAGCAUGAAAAAAAUAUCCUGCGCCUGUGGAUGUGUGUAUGUGUCUCCAUUUCGUCAAAGCCACUCGACUCGCAGUUGUUUCAGUUCUGACACACACACACACACACACACACA